CGUUCGAAACCCCCUCCCUAACUCAGCCCGGCUGGACCCCGCUGCUUAACGGGGGGUCCUGCGGCAAAGAAAGUGGACGGGUUGCCACUUCUGUGCCUCCCCAUCAGGUAGCCUGGGCUAUAAGGGGCUCUCAGACCAGCUUGGUUCCAGAUGUGUGUGUGGCGGGAGUCCUGUAUACUUUGAAGAGGAGAGCAGCAAGAAGCCUCUAACUCCCAGGCCAGCGUGCAGGAGAUCAGCCGGCGUUACAGUCUACACUGGGCUACCCACUGUCCCAUGAAGUAGCAGUUCUCCCCAUGUCGUAGAGUGGGGCCCCGGCAGAUUAAGAAACUUUCCUAAGAGCCCACAGCUGGCAAGAGGCAGAAUUCUGGCUCCGAAACCCAUGUUUUCUACAGGUUUACCCUUUGUUGAUUUGCAAGGGGUUGGGAAACUAGUUUCCAUGGCCAAACCUAGCCCACCGUCUGUUUUGGGUGUCCAUGGAUUGGCGGGGACAGCUCUGCUUAAGGAUGUAGUAGCUCUGCAGGUUGGCUAGGUUUCCUGUUCUUCCCAACCUGCGCUAUGGACUUCAUCAGAUUUCAGCAUCAGAGAGAAUAUGGAAGGACAUCGACCCUAACUUCAUCCAGUGAGGAUUUCCACACACCAUACACUCUCUGAGAGUUCUCUUGGCUUUGUGUGCACACCUCCAGUGACAGGGAGCUCGCUAUGUCAUGAGGCAGCCUGCUCCCUUGUGGCUAUCACUGAACCAACUAUUAAGCCUUCUUAUACAAACAGUCCCUGACUUACUGUUAGACUUACAACUUUUUGAUUUUACAGUGGUGCAAAAGCAAUAUGCAUUCCAUAGAAACUGUAUUUCAAAUUUUGAAUUUUGAUCUUUUCCAGGCUAGCAACAUAUGAAGACCAACCUUCUAUUUUUAAAAUAGGCUUUGUGUUAGAUGCUUUUGCCCAACUAUAGGUUAAUGUAAAUGUUCUGAGAAUAUUUGAGGAAGGCUAGGCUAAACUGUGAUCUUUGGGAGCUUAGAUAUGUUAAGUGCAUUUUCAACUUACAAUAUUUUCAACUUACGAUGAGUUUAUUGGGAUGAAGCCCGUUGUAAGUAAAGGAGCAUCUGCAUUAAGCUAAAAUCCAUGUCUAUAACUUCCUCAGUAAUAUCAAGUUUGUUCCUUGGAGCCAGAGAAUAAACUGAAUCCUUUUCCA
rnacentral:lncRNA from 1 species